CUACGUGCCAGCAGCCGCGGUAAUACGGAAGGUCCAGGCGUUAUCCGGAUUUAUUGGGUUUAAAGGGAGCGUAGGCGGAUUAUUAAGUCAGUGGUGAAAGACGGUGGCUCAACCAUCGUUAGCCAUUGAAACUGGUAGUCUUGAGUGCAGACAGGGAUGCUGGAACUCGUGGUGUAGCGGUGAAAUGCUUAGAUAUCACGAUGAACUCCGAUCGCGAAGGCAGGUGUCCGGGCUGCAACUGACGCUGAGGCUCGAAAGUGUGGGUAUCAAACAGGAUUAGAUACCCUGGUAGUCCACACAGUAAACGAUGUAUACUCGCGGUUUGCAAUACAAUGUAAGCCGCCAAGCGAAAGCAUUAAGUAUACCACCUGGGGAGUACGCCGGCAACGGUGAAACUCAAAGGAAUUGACGGGGGCCCGCACAAGCGGAGGAACAUGUGGUUUAAUUCGAUGAUACGCGAGGAACCUUACCCGGGCUUGAAC
rnacentral:rRNA from 1 species